UAACACAUGCAAGUCGAACGAUGAUCUCCAGCUUGCUGGGGGGAUUAGUGGCGAACGGGUGAGUAACACGUGAGUAACCUGCCCUUGACUCUGGGAUAAGCCUGGGAAACUGGGUCUAAUACCGGAUACGACCGUCCCGCGCAUGCGGUGGUGGUGGAAAGCUUUUGCGGUUUUGGAUGGACUCGCGGCCUAUCAGCUUGUUGGUGGGGUAAUGGCCUACCAAGGCGACGACGGGUAGCCGGCCUGAGAGGGUGACCGGCCACACUGGGACUGAGACACGGCCCAGACUCCUACGGGAGGCAGCAGUGGGGAAUAUUGCACAAUGGGCGAAAGCCUGAUGCAGCGACGCCGCGUGAGGGAUGACGGCCUUCGGGUUGUAAACCUCUUUCAGUAGGGAAGAAGCGAAAGUGACGGUACCUGCAGAAGAAGCGCCGGCUAACUACGUGCCAGCAGCCGCGGUAAUACGUAGGGCGCAAGCGUUAUCCGGAAUUAUUGGGCGUAAAGAGCUCGUAGGCGGUUUGUCGCGUCUGCUGUGAAAGACCGGGGCUCAACUCCGGUUCUGCAGUGGGUACGGGCAGACUAGAGUGAUGUAGGGGAGACUGGAAUUCCUGGUGUAGCGGUGAAAUGCGCAGAUAUCAGGAGGAACACCGAUGGCGAAGGCAGGUCUCUGGGCAUUAACUGACGCUGAGGAGCGAAAGCAUGGGGAGCGAACAGGAUUAGAUACCCUGGUAGUCCAUGCCGUAAACGUUGGGCACUAGGUGUGGGGGACAUUCCACGUUUUCCGCGCCGUAGCUAACGCAUUAAGUGCCCCGCCUG
rnacentral:rRNA from 1 species